GCAUCAGUGGUCUAGUGGUUAACGCUCUAGGUUUUGGAAAAUGGGGUCCCGGGUUCAAUCCCGGCGGUGGCU